rnacentral:rRNA from 1 species
AUUGAACGCUGGCGGCGUGCUUAACACAUGCAAGUCGAUCGGUAACAGGUGUAGCAAUACAUGCUGACGAGAGGCGGACGGGUGAGGAACGCUUGGGAAUCUGCCUAUCAGCGGGGGACAACCCGGGGAAACCCGGGCUAAUACCGCAUACGCUCUACGGAGGAAAGCCGGGGACCGCAAGGCCUGGCACUGAUAGAUGAGCCCAAGUCGGAUUAGCUAGUUGGCGGGGUAACGGCCCACCAAGGCGACGAUCCGUAGCUGGUCUGAGAGGACGAUCAGCCACACCGGAAGUGGGACACGGUACGGACUCCUACGGGAGGCAGCAGUGGGGAAUAUUGGACAAUGGGCGAGAGCCUGAUCCAGCGACGCCGCGUGGGUGAAGAAGGCCUGCGGGUUGUAAAGCCCUUUCGGUAGGGACGAAAGCUCUCGACCUAACACGUCGGGAGGUUGACUUAACCUACAAAAGAAGCACCGGCUAACUCUGUGCCAGCCGCCGCCGUAA